CUACGGGUUGCAGCAGUGAGGAAUAUUGCACAAUGGGGGGAACCCUGAUGCAGCAACGCCGCGUGGAGGAUGACGCAUUUCGGUGUGUACACUCCUUUUAUAUGUCAAGAAAAUGACGGUAGCAUAUGAAUAAGCACCGGCUAACUCCGUGCCAGCAGCCGCGGUAAUAAGGAGGGUGCAAGCGUUACUCGGAAUCACUGGGCGUAAAGGACGCGUAGGCGGGUUGGAAAGUCAGGUGUGAAAUCCUACAGCUUAACUGUAGAACUGCACUUGAAACUUCUAAUCUAGAGUAUGGGAGGGGGAGAUGGAAUUAGUGGUGUAGGGGUAAAAUCCGUAGAUAUCACUAGGAAUACCUAAAGCGAAGGCGAUCUCCUGGAACAUUACUGACGCUAAGGCGUGAAAGCGUGGGGAGCAAACAGGAUUAGAUACCCCUGUAGUC
rnacentral:rRNA from 1 species